AACGCUAGCUACAGGCUUAACACAUGCAAGUCGAGGGGCAUCGGGUUUUCAGCUUGCUGAAAAUGCCGGCGACCGGCGCACGGGUGAGUAACGCGUAUCCAACCUACCAUUUACACCGGGAUAGGCUUUCGAAAGAAAGAUUAAUACCGGAUAGCACCUUAAAGGCACCUGCUUUAAAGGUUAAAGAAUUUUGGUAAAUGAUGGGGAUGCGUUCCAUUAGAUAGUAGGUGAGGUAACGGCCCACCUAGUCAACGAUGGAUAGGGGUUCUGAGAGGAAGGUCCCCCACAUUGGAACUGAGACACGGUCCAAACUCCUACGGGAGGCAGCAGUGAGGAAUAUUGGUCAAUGGGCGAGAGCCUGAACCAGCCAAGUAGCGUGCAGGAUGACGGCCCUAUGGGUUGUAAACUGCUUUUAUAAGGGAAUAAAGUGAGCCUCGUGAGGCUUUUUGCAUGUACCUUAUGAAUAAGGACCGGCUAAUUCCGUGCCAGCAGCCGCGGUAAUACGGAAGGUCCGGGCGUUAUCCGGAUUUAUUGGGUUUAAAGGGAGCGUAGGCCGGAGAUUAAGCGUGUUGUGAAAUGUAGACGCUCAACGUCUGCACUGCAGCGCGAACUGGUUUCCUUGAGUACGCACAAAGUGGGCGGAAUUCGUGGUGUAGCGGUGAAAUGCUUAGAUAUCACGAAGAACUCCGAUUG
rnacentral:rRNA from 1 species